GUCGCUUCUUGGCCCUUUGGCUAAGAUCAAGUGUAGUAUCUGUUCUCAGCAGUUUAACAUCGUUCUAUUUUUAAAAGAGUCUCUCAUGUUUGUUUGUCUUUUUCAGAACUGUCUUAAAUAUUCUUAGAUUUUUUUUUUUUAACUCCAGAACAGGUGACUUUUGGAACCAGAACAACCGGCACAAAAAGU